AUUGAACGCUGGCGGCAGGCCUAACACAUGCAAGUCGAGCGGAUGAAGGGAGCUUGCUCCUGGAUUCAGCGGCGGACGGGUGAGUAAUGCCUAGGAAUCUGCCUGGUAGUGGGGGACAACGUUUCGAAAGGAACGCUAAUACCGCAUACGUCCUACGGGAGAAAGCAGGGGACCUUCGGGCCUUGCGCUAUCAGAUGAGCCUAGGUCGGAUUAGCUAGUUGGUGAGGUAAUGGCUCACCAAGGCGACGAUCCGUAACUGGUCUGAGAGGAUGAUCAGUCACACUGGAACUGAGACACGGUCCAGACUCCUACGGGAGGCAGCAGUGGGGAAUAUUGGACAAUGGGCGAAAGCCUGAUCCAGCCAUGCCGCGUGUGUGAAGAAGGUCUUCGGAUUGUAAAGCACUUUAAGUUGGGAGGAAGGGUUGUAGAUUAAUUCUCUGCAGUUUUGACGUUACCGACAGAAUAAGCACCGGCUAACUCUGUGCCAGCCGCCGCCGUAACAC
rnacentral:rRNA from 1 species